CCUACGGGUGGCAGCAGUGAGGAAUAUUGGUCAAUGGACGCGAGUCUGAACCAGCCAAGUCGCGUGAAGGAUGACUGCCCUAUGGGUUGUAAACUUCUUUUAUACGGGGAUAAAAUCAGACACGUGUGUCUUUUUGUAUGUACCGUAUGAAUAAGGAUCGGCUAACUCCGUGCCAGCAGCCGCGGUAAUACGGAGGAUCCGAGCGUUAUCCGGAUUUAUUGGGUUUAAAGGGAGCGUAGAUGGGUUGUUAAGUCAGUUGUGAAAGUUUGCGGCUCAACCGUAAAAUUGCAAUUGAUACUGGCAGUCUUGAGGAUAGUUGAGGUAGGCGGAAUGUGUGGUGUAGCGGUGAAAUGCUUAGAGAUCACGAAGAACUCCGAUUGCGAAGGCAGCUUACGAAACUGCCUCUGACAUUGAGGCUCGAAAGCGUGGGUAGCAAACAGGAUUAGAUACCCGGGUAGUC
rnacentral:rRNA from 1 species